AUUGAACGCUGGCGGCAGGCUUAACACAUGCAAGUCGAGCGGAGAUGAGGUGCUUGCACCUUAUCUUAGCGGCGGACGGGUGAGUAAUGCUUAGGAAUCUGCCUAUUAGUGGGGGACAACAUUCCGAAAGGAAUGCUAAUACCGCAAACGUCCUACGGGAGAAAGCAGGGGAUCUUCGGACCUUGCGCUAAUAGAUGAGCCUAAGUCGGAUUAGCUAGUUGGUGGGGUAAAGGCCUACCAAGGCGACGAUCUGUAGCGGGUCUGAGAGGAUGAGCCGCCACACUGGGACUGAGACACGGCCCAGACUCCUACUGGAGGCAGCAGUGGGGAAUAUUGGACAAUGGGGGGAACCCUGAUCCAGCCAUGCCGCCUGUGUGAAGAAGGCCUUAUGGUUGUAAAGCACUUUAAGCGAGGAGGAGGCUCUUUUGGUUAAUACCCAAGAUGAGUGGACGUUACUCGCAGAAUAAGCACCGGCUAACUCUGUGCCAGCCGCCGCAGUAA
rnacentral:rRNA from 1 species